rnacentral:rRNA from 1 species
GAUGAACGCUGGCGGCGUGCCUAAUACAUGCAAGUCGAGCGAACGGACGAGAAGCUUGCUUCUCUGAUGUUAGCGGCGGACGGGUGAGUAACACGUGGAUAACCUACCUAUAAGACUGGGAUAACUUCGGGAAACCGGAGCUAAUACCGGAUGAUAUUUUGAACCGCAUGGUUCAAAAGUGAAAGACGGUCUUGCUGUCACUUAUAGAUGGAUCCGCGCUGCAUUAGCUAGUUGGUAAGGUAACGGCUUACCAAGGCAACGAUGCAUAGCCGACCUGAGAGGGUGAUCGGCCACACUGGAACUGAGACACGGUCCAGACUCCUACGGGAGGCAGCAGUAGGGAGUCUUCCGCAAUGGGCGAAAGCCUGACGGAGCAACGCCGCGUGAGUGAUGAAGGUCUUCGGAUCGUAAAACUCUGUUAUUAGGGAAGAACAUAUGUGUAAGUAACUGUGCACAUCUUGACGGUACCUAAUCAGAAAGCCUCGGCUAACUACGUG